ACGUAGGGGGCAAGCGUUAUCCGGAAUUAGUGGGCGUAAAGGGAGCGUAGGUGGUUUUUUAAGCGGGAGGUGAAAGGCAAUAGCUUAACUAUUGUAAGCCUUGCGAACUAGAAGACUUGAGUGCAGGAGAGGAAAGUGGAAUUCCUAUUGUAGCGGUGAGAUGCGUAGAUAUUAGGAGGAACACCAGAGGCGAAGGCGUCAUCCUGGACUAUAACUGACGCUGAGGCACGAAAGCGUGGGAAGCAAACAG
rnacentral:rRNA from 1 species